CCUACGGGCGGCUGCAGUGGGGAAUAUUGGACAAUGGGCGAAAGCCUGAUCCAGCCAUGCCGCGUGUGUGAAGAAGGCCUUCGGGUUGUAAAGCACUUUCAGUGGGGAAGAAAGCCUUGGGGCUAAUACCCUCGAGGAAGGACAUCACCCACAGAAGAAGCACCGGCUAACUCCGUGCCAGCAGCCGCGGUAAUACGGAGGGUGCGAGCGUUAAUCGGAAUUACUGGGCGUAAAGCGCGCGUAGGCGGUCUGAUAAGCCGGUUGUGAAAGCCCCGGGCUCAACCUGGGAACGGCAUCCGGAACUGUCAGGCUAGAGUGCAGGAGAGGAAGGUAGAAUUCCCGGUGUAGCGGUGAAAUGCGUAGAGAUCGGGAGGAAUACCAGUGGCGAAGGCGGCCUUCUGGACUGACACUGACGCUGAGGUGCGAAAGCGUGGGUAGCAAACAGGAUUAGAUACCCCAGUAGUC
rnacentral:rRNA from 1 species